GACAUCAGGACCCCAGGUUCUCUGGUCUUGGGACUCUGAGACUUGCACCAGGAAUCCUGCCCAGGCUCUCAGGCCUUUGGACUCAGACUGAGCUACUUCACUGGCUUUCCUGGUUCUCCAGCUUGAAGAUGGCAGAUCGUGGGACUUCUCAGCCUCCAUAAUUGAGUGAGCCAAUUCCCUGUGCCUUCUAUUGGCCAAACCCAACAGAAGCCAGAGAAGAAAGGUGACCAUUGAUGUGGUUCACAAAUGUCUAUCUGCUGGGACACAGAGAAGAGUAAAGAGUAGAUCUACAGGAGUGUAUUUCAAUUUUUAUUCUAGGAUAGUAUUAGUGAUAGAUUCCAAUCCCUGAACUUCAUGCAAGUAUCAUAGUCACUAGAAAUCCACUUAAGAGCUGAGAUCCAUUGGUGGUACAUUUUUAUUUUUUAGUAAGGAGCUGUUUCUAAUGUCAACACUGGUAAACUAAUGGUUUGUUGGAAGAAAAGACAGCCAACAUAUUCAGUCAAGAACAUUUUACUUGUUCCAUGUGAAAAUCCAUUAUAGAAACAAUUUCUUUUUUUAUCCUGAAAUAAACAUAUAUUGCAGAAACAGACACAGGAUAUUUUCAUGCCUCAAAGUAAUGUCUUUGGCUAGUUGCUAUUGAGUACUUUCAUGAUGUGAAUAUCAUCACUAACAAUUCAUCAAUUCUAAACUAGAUUUCACUUAAACUUGCAAAUUUACCAUUUUAAUGACAUAUUUAAAAAGUUUUUUGAAAGAAAAAGUACAAAUAAAAGUAAAAUAAGGGCUUCUGGUUCAAGAUGGCUGACUAGAAGCAGCUAGUGGGUUCCUCUUCCAUGGAGAUGAAUCAAAAUAGUAAAUAUUCACACUUUGAAUAGAUCAUCUAAAAGAGAGAGCACAACGGAAUUCAUCAGAGAAGUGAUGGGAAUUAUGGAAAGCAAAGAAAGGUGAAGCCAUGCAGCCUGCUGAGCUGGGAUUGGUAUGGAGCCAGGAGUAGCUCCCUGACAUGGGGAAGGGCUGAGUGAGAAGGGAGAAAAUAUUUGCAAAGUGAACUAUUUCUAGAAAGAAAUGGAUUCCCAGCUCUCAGUUGUAAUCUAACUGCAGAGUAAUGUUGGAUAAUACAUCAGCCUCAAGAAAUUUUCCAGAUUAAAUUGUCUGAGUGAGAAGUAUAAAAGUGUAUCUACUGGAAAUGCAAGCUAAUUAUGUCACAUUCUUGGCUUUUCAGUUUUAAGUUACAUGUUAAAUGUGUAUUUGAAGAAAGAGCUUCUAGUUAAAGACUGUGAAAAAAAAGACAUUUUGUCUCCAUUUCAUUCACUCAGAAAUUGUUAAAGAAAUAAAUUCAGUCAAAAGCUGUGUCUAUGUGGGAGGGGGUAAAAAAGUGGGGAAGAGAUGAAGUUCCUCUUCACUUUCAAUGAAAGAGGAAAUGGCAAAUAUAUGGAAUGUGGCCUGGAAUGAGAGAGACCAGUAGCUGGGAUUACAGGCACCCACCACCAUGCCUGGCUAAUUUUUGUAUUUUUAGUAGAGAUGGGGUUUCACCAUGUUGACCAUGCUAGUCUCGAACUCUUGACCUCUAGUGAUGUGCCCACCUCGACCUCUCAAACUGCUGGGAUUAUAGGAAUGAGUUAUGCACCUGGCCCCUCUGAGCUUCUUUAUGGCCAUCAGAUAAUUGUAUUUUAUUUUAACAGUAGUUUUAUUUCUCUGAUUAUUGAGGUAUUUAUGUCAAAAAAUUGGACUUGGACACUACUAGUAUGCUACACUUGUUGAUGACACAAGUGAGUCUUUUUUCAGUGACUACAAAUGUAUCAUCUAAAGGAGAAUCAUAUCCUUUUACUUAAAAACACAUUCUUUUUCUUUCUGGCAUCCCUAUGAUAUCCUCUUCUUUGCCAAAUCCCUGUGACACAAAUUUUCUAUAUAACAAACCUGCACAUGUAUCCCUGAGCCUAAAACAAAAAUUUUUAAAAAAGAAGAAAUCUAACUACUUUAAAAUGUUUUAUAAAGCCUUGCAAUGGCUGAUUCCUGCCUAUUUUUCUACAUCAUACCAUGUUAUUUUCUUUCCUCACACACGCCACAUUCCUGGUACACUAGCCACAUUUCAGUUCCUCAAACCCACUCUUUUUCUUGACCUUGAGGCUUUUAAUUCGAUGUUUCUUAACAGUAUUCUGCCAGAAGUAUUCCUUCUGUACUAUUUACUGGAAAACUCCCCUUCCUUCAAGGACUGCUGUCCUCUUAAAUGUGGUUUCCUCAAUAAGACCUUCCAUGCCCAUCCUCAUGUCUCCCCACCCCUGCCCACUCUGCAACAUCCCAGAUGCAGAUGCACAAUUUCUUUAAUUCUGCCUUGUGGAAGUGCACACACAUUAGUGGCUAAGAGAAACAUUUUAUUUGUGUCCUUUUUUUUCCUGUUUCUUUCUGUCUGUCUCUCUCUCUUUUUUAAAGAAUUGAAGUUAGUUUUAUUCAAAAGUCCUACUGAGGACUGAGACCUAGAACCCAAGAGCAGUUCUGUCAGAUCGUUCCAGCACAGGGCUUCAGCUCACUGCUUAGCGACCUGUGUUAGGGGUUCAGUAUGUACAAAAUCACAUCACACUUGCUCAGAAGUUAUAUUAAAGCAGAAUCACAUCUAGGUUUGGGCAUAAGAAUAAUUCUCAUUAUAUAUUACAGAGGUAUAAUCACUAACCCCAUCAGACAUUAUUUUAUGUGUAGGAAAAGGCAAAAACAAGGGUCAUUCGUCUUUCAAGGAAUAUAGUGACUCAGGCAAAAGACAUGGAAGGUCAUGUGCUCAGGCCUAUUUUGUCUUCAAAGUGUUUGCCUUUUUCUUAGAAACAAUAAUUAAUAAAGUAAAAAUUUUUAGUAGCUAAACCUAAGCAAAACAUUACUGGCCUUAAAAGAGUCAAAUGGG
rnacentral:lncRNA from 1 species